CUUUAAAAGGAAAAAAAAACUUAGCAAAGUUACUUCGUUGAAUUCAUAGUAAAACGUCUGCUAUCAGCGUUUUCAACAUGCCUUCAACUCUGCUACAGCAAAACUCUUGCCGAAGCACCGUGCCCUUUGAUUUCCUGCGCCGCAAUUGCUUGACUCCUUAUCAAACACAGUCAGACCUGUAAAGGAAUAAAUUUCUCUUCGCAACGGCCAACCUACUGGAAGAAAUACGAUGUGUUCCAUGAUAUGUUUUCGUUUUCCAUCUUUUUCAAUGGUCUUCAUUGGCCUCUUUCAAGCCCGGUUCGCUUGCAGGCUGCCUUGAAAGAGAAUCGUGUGGUAUAAACCAUCGCGUCUAUUGUCUCGUUAUCAGGCAUCUUUUGUCUAAGUCUUGCACAACAGGCGCAAACGGAAUGUUUCAGAUGUUUUUGCCGAAGAAAAACGAGGUGGUUACACAACACCCACAUUCAGGGUUUGUUGUUGGGACAUAGCAUAGGUCAGGAAUCGGUGCGUGUUUUCUAGUGAGAAGAGACGGACGACAGAGUGACAGCAGAUGCAAGCGGGCUAAUUGAGUACUAUUUCUAGGCUCGUGCAGGACAUACUUAAUUGCGUCAAGCUGCGACGCGUUAGUCGGCUUUGGAAGCAGCAGAAUCCUCUCUGACACGCGUAUGAGGAGAUGACAAGGAGCUCUAAAUAGCACAGUAUGAUAUUAGACCCACAGGGCUCUAAAGGAUACCGGCCACAGAAUGAGAACGUCCUGUCGAGCAAGCGCGGCCGAACUGUACUAGACUGAAUAUUAACGUAGCUUAAAUAUAUGUAAAAAAAAAAGGAAAAAGCACGUCCAUAGAUACGGAAGCGCAGAUAAUUCAUCUGAGAUUCGACAGUCUCGUGAGGUUCACAAAGCUUGAAGCUCAAAUCGAUACGUUUUUACGAGUAUGGAUCACUACGGCUUUAGAGACCAAUCGCGUUUGGUCAAUGAACCGCUACGGCGGUUCACCAUAAAUAUCCAAAUAGAAGGUCCAGGUAUUCGUAGCUCAGCGGGAAAAUUGCUUCGAUAAAAGACGCGGUGAGAAACGUUGAAGUGAUUAAAAAGUAUCGGUGCACCCUUUUCUGGUGUAAGCACACCGGCUAGAGGGGUGAAAUGAUCAUGAUCAAGUUCAAUUACAAUACAAGUUUGAACCUAUAAUAUAUGUCGCCCCCGAUACCCUUCAAACGAUUGGGUACUUGAAACAGUAAAUA